rnacentral:rRNA from 1 species
UUGAAAGGGAAACGAUUGAAGUCAGUCGUACCGACGAGAAAUCAGCUCUUUGAGUGCGAACUUGUGGGCGUGCGUGAACUUUACGGUCUCGCUGUUUGCAAUGUUUGUUCUUUUUGGGUGUACUUUUUCGUAUGGUAGGCCAACAUCAGUUUCGAAUAUCAUAAAAUGUCCGGAGGAAUGUAGCUUCGAUCUCGUAUUGAAGUGUUAUAGCCUUUGGUAGAUGUGGUGUUUGGGACUGAGGAUUGCAACGAAUAUCCUUUGGGCUAUCCGUCUGAUCUCUGAAAGUUGCUUAGGUGCCGAAAGCAUGCUUACGGUUAUUUAAGUUGACGGUCAAAAGGUUAGAACGUGAUUACAUUCGUUAAGGAUGUUGACGUA